rnacentral:rRNA from 1 species
UACGGGGGGGGCAAGCGUUGUUCGGGAUUACUGGGCGUAAAGGGCUCGUAGGCGGCCAACUAAGUCAGACGUGAAAUCCCUCGGCUUAACCGGGGAACUGCGUCUGAUACUGGAUGGCUUGAGUUUGGGAGAGGGAUGCGGAAUUCCAGGUGUAGCGGUGAAAUGCGUAGAUAUCUGGAGGAACCCCGGUGGCGAAGGCGGCAUCCUGGACCAACACUGACGCUGAGGAGCGAAAGCCAGGGGAGCAAACGGG